CCUGUCAGGCAACGCCUCCCACGCCAGAUGGCCGUCCCUCCUGCCCCUCCGCGGCGGUCCAGCCAAACCUGGGCCCUGCAUGGACAGAAGAGGACCCGAGCGGCCGCGGCCAAGGUCAAAGUGUCCAUCUGGACACAGGAUGGAGACACCCAUCCCCUGGAGUGGGAGAUGAACUGCAUGGCCUGUCAGUGGCUCAUGGCACAGUACUGCGACCCUCAGGUUUGUUUCCUCUUGGUUUAUUUCCAUUUC
rnacentral:lncRNA from 12 species